rnacentral:rRNA from 1 species
ACGUAGGGAGCGAGCGUUGUCCGGAUUCAUUGGGCGUAAAGAGCGCGCAGGCGGUUUGGUAAGUCGGAUGUGAAAUCCCGGAGCUCAACUCCGGACCUGCAUCCGAUACUGCCCGACUAGAGGUAGGUAGGGGAGAUCGGAAUUCCUGGUGUAGCGGUGAAAUGCGCAGAUAUCAGGAGGAACACCGGUGGCGAAGGCGGAUCUCUGGGCCUUACCUGACGCUCAGGCGCGAAAGCUAGGGGAGCGAACAGGAUUAGAUACCCUGGUAGUCCUAGCCGUAAACGUUGGGUGCUAGGUGUGGGCGGACAUCGACCCCGUCCGUGCCGAAGCUAACGCAUUAAGCACCCCGCCUGGGGAGUACGGCCGCAAGGCUA